rnacentral:rRNA from 1 species
ACUCCUACGGGAGGCAGCAGUGAGGAAUAUUGGUCAAUGGGCGCAAGCCUGAACCAGCCAUGCCGCGUGCAGGAAGACUGCCCUAUGGGUUGUAAACUGCUUUUAUACAGGAAGAAACACUCCCUCGUGAGGGAGCUUGACGGUACUGUAAGAAUAAGGAUCGGCUAACUCCGUGCCAGCAGCCGCGGUAAUACGGAGGAUCCAAGCGUUAUCCGGAAUCAUUGGGUUUAAAGGGUCGUAGGUGGAUUAGUAAGUCAGAGGUGAAAUCCUGCAGCUCAACUGUAGAACUGCCUUUGAUACUGCUAGUCUUGAGUCAUUAUGAAGUGGUUAGAAUGUGUAGUGUAGCGGUGAAAUGCAUAGAUAUUACACAGAAUACCGAUUGCGAAGGCAGAUCACUAAUAAUGUACUGACACUGAUGGACGAAAGCGUGGGAGCGAACAGGAUUAGAUACCCCGUGGUAGCGACUGA